GGCGGACGGGUGAGUAACACGUAGGCAACCUGCCCAUCAGACUGGGAUAACACUCGGAAACGAAUGCUAAUACCGGAUAAGCAGUAACCUCGCAUGGGGAGACUGGGAAAGGCGGCGCAAGCUGCUACUGAUGGAUGGGCCUGCGGCGUAUUAGCUAGUUGGCGGGGUAACGGCCCACCAAGGCGACGAUGCGUAGCCGACCUGAGAGGGUGAACGGCCACACUGGGACUGAGACACGGCCCAGACUCCUACGGGAGGCAGCAGUAGGGAAUCUUCCACAAUGGGGGCAACCCUGAUGGAGCAACGCCGCGUGAGUGAGGAAGGCUUUCGGGUCGUAAAGCUCCGUUGCCAGGGAAGAACGCCUAGGAGAGUAACUGCUCUUAGGGUGACGGUACCUGAGAAGAAAGCCCCGGCUAACUACGUGCCAGCAGCCGCGGUAAUACGUAGGGGGCAAGCGUUGUCCGGAAUUAUUGGGCGUAAAGCGCGCGCAGGCGGUCUUUUAAGUCUGGUGUCUAAGUGCGGGGCUCAACCCCGUGAUGCACUGGAAACUGGGAGACUUGAGUGCAGUAGAGGAGAGCGGAAUUCCACGUGUAGCGGUGAAAUGCGUAGAGAUGUGGAGGAACACCAGUGGCGAAGGCGGCU
rnacentral:rRNA from 1 species